rnacentral:rRNA from 1 species
AUGGGCGGCCUCUCCAUGGACCAGGCCUUCGUGCAGGCCCCCGAGCAUCGCACCAAGGCGAACCUCGCCGACGCGGCCGGCAUCCCGGUCAUCGACCUCUCCCCUCUCGCCGCCGGCGACAAGGCCGGCCUGGACGCCCUCGCGGCCGAGGUGGGCAGGGCGAGCCGUGACUGGGGGUUCUUCGUGGUGGUGCGCCACGGCGUGCCGGCGGAGACGGUGGCGCGGGCGCUGGAGGCGCAGAGGGCCUUCUUCGCGCUGCCCGCGGACCGGAAGGCGGCCGUGCGGAGGGACGAGGCGGCGCCGCUGGGGUACUACGAGUCGGAGCACACCAAGAACGUCAGGGACUGGAAGGAGGUGUUCGACCUCGUCCCCCGCGAGCCGCCGCCGCCUGCCGCGGUUGCCGACGGCGAGCUCAUGUUCGAGAACAAGUGGCCCGAGGACCUGCCGGGGUUCAGAGAGGCUCUCGAAGAGUACGAGAAAGCGAUGGAGGAGCUGGCGUUCAAGCUGCUGGAGCUGAUCGCCCGGAGCCUGGGACUGAGACCGGACCGGCUGCACGGCUUCUUCAAGGACCAGACCACCUUCAUCCGGCUGAACCACUACCCGCCCUGCCCCAGCCCCGACCUCGCCCUCGGCGUCGGUCGCCACAAGGACGCCGGCGCGCUCACCAUCCUCUACCAGGACGACGUCGGCGGGCUCGACGUCCGGCGCCGCUCCGACGGCGAGUGGGUGCGCGUCAGGCCUGUCCCGGACUCCUACGUCAUCAACGUCGGCGACAUCAUCCAGGUGUGGAGCAACGACAGGUACGAGAGCGCGGAGCACAGGGUGUCGGUGAACUCGCACAAGGAGAGGUUCUCCAUGCCCUACUUCUUCGACCCCGGGAGCGACGCCAUGAUCGAGCCGUUGGAGGAGAUGGUGAGCGACGAAAGGCCGGCCAGGUACGACGCCUACAACUGGGGCAACUUCUUCAGCACCAGGAAGAACAGCAACUUCAGGAAGCUCGCCGUCGAAAACGUCCAGAUCGCACACUUCAGAAAGGACCGACCUUAA